rnacentral:misc_RNA from 1 species
AAGUACACGGACUGCACCGGGUCUGAGAGACUCUUCCCAGAGUUCGAGCGGUCGCCACAGUGUGUGGUGCGACCCACACGCUCAUUUGGUCUGCCUCAUCCGCGCCAUAGAGGUUACGCUGAGCUCGAGCAAAGCAGCGCCGCGUUUGUGUUUUGUCCUCAUCACGGUUUUCUUCGCAUGAAAGCGGUAAAGCCGCGAAGGGGUAGGGCAGACCCCGCCACCGCUGCUCGUCAGCUACCCCGUGUCUGGCAUGCGUGACGGAGCUCAUGUGCACCGUUGAGAGGUGAUAGAUCCUCUGAACACAUGAAAUAUUGCCUGCGUGAUACAUUGCAGGCGCGCUUGGGCACCGCAUCGACGCCCGCGAAGUAACGCAGUGCACUACAUCUGCGGCAUGCCUCGAGCAAGAGCUCGACUACGCGGUGCGGCAGCUUCCUUUACGUGAAGCCGCGCUGCGUAGGACGCCGCCGAGGAAGAAGGCCCCGUAAGGGGUGGGGGAGGAAGAGCGAAGCGAACCAUGGACAGUGCCUGCUAGGCCUGGGCUUCAAGUCGGUGUCCAGCGCGCACAUGUUUCACCUGUACUUGUGCUUGAAAGUCUUGUGUUGCCCUGAAUUGAACGUAAUGUCUGCUGCUGAACAAAAAAAAAGAAGAAAGGUAAAGACGGUGAUGAUGCGGGGCUUCGCUGGGCACUGCAGAAUACCGCG